rnacentral:rRNA from 1 species
GACGUAGGGCGCGAGCGUUGUCCGGAUUUAUUGGGCGUAAAGAGCUCGUAGGCGGCUUGUCGCGUCGACUGUGAAAUCCCGCGGCUCAACUGCGGGUCUGCAGUCGAUACGGGCAGGCUAGAGUUCGGUAGGGGAGACUGGAAUUCCUGGUGUAGCGGUGAAAUGUGCAGAUAUCGGGAGGAACACCGGUGGCGAAGGCGGUUCUCUGGGCCUUACCUGACGCUGAGGAGCGAAAGCAUGGGGAGCGAACAGG